UAGUAAUUAUAAGGAUACAGACUAGCUAGAAAGAUGGAUAUACUAUUCUGACAAUGGUUAAAUUAAUGUAGGUCGCUCCUUAUCUAUUUCGACUUUUCAUGGCAUAGAAAAGGUUAAGAGUCAAGUGGAAAACACAUUGAACAGAAA